UACGUAGGGGGGCGAGCGUUGUCCGGAUUUAUUGGGCGUAAAGAGCGUGUAGGCGGCCAGAUAGGUCUGCUGUGAAAACUCGAGGCUCAACCUCGAGACGUCGGCGGAAACCAUCUGGCUAGAGUCCGGAAGAGGAGAGUGGAAUUCCUGGUGUAGCGGUGAAAUGCGUAGAUAUCGGGAGGAACACGGUGGCGAAGGCGGCCCCCCUGGUGGAUACUGACGCUGAGACG
rnacentral:rRNA from 1 species